GACGAACGCUGGCGGCGUGCUUAACACAUGCAAGUCGAACGGAAAGGCCCUGCUUUUGUGGGGUGCUCGAGUGGCGAACGGGUGAGUAACACGUGAGUAACCUGCCCUUGACUUUGGGAUAACUUCAGGAAACUGGGGCUAAUACCGGAUAGGAGCUCCUGCUGCAUGGUGGGGGUUGGAAAGUUUCGGCGGUUGGGGAUAGACUCGCGGCUUAUCAGCUAGUUGGUGGGGUAGUGGCUUACCAAGGCUUUGACGGGUAGCCGGCCUGAGAGGGUGACCGGCCACAUUGGGACUGAGAUACGGCCCAGACUCCUACGGGAGGCAGCAGUGGGGAAUAUUGCACAAUGGGCGGAAGCCUGAUGCAGCAACGCCGCGUGCGGGAUGACGGCCUUCGGGUUGUAAACCGCUUUCGCCUGUGACGAAGCGUGAGUGACGGUAAUGGGUAAAGAAGCACCGGCUAACUACGUG
rnacentral:rRNA from 1 species